AAAACGAAUUUUGAAAACGUUCCUAAUCUGUGCCUGGUAUGACUUCGAAAGGUCGAGAGCCAGUAUUUUUCUUCUUCGACAUCGAAGCCGCGAACAGUUCAGUUGGUGCUGACAUAAUUCAAUUUGGGUUACGUGCGAUCCAAGUGUCCAUUUGAUGGCAGAGUUUAGUGCAUUUGUGAAAACAAAGCAGAAAUUAUCAUCAUUCAGUAAUUUAAUCUUUUUUAAUGUUGAAAAAAUUAUCUUUAUGUCGAAAUCUUUGCACAAUUCUUUGCAUACGCUUCAUCUUUCUUUGCCCUUUCCAGCCAUCAAACACCAGAUCCUUUUCCUCUUGUUUUCAAGAGGAUGAUGAAAUGGGUGACCAAUAGGACUUUGGCAGCAAGCAGGAAAAGUAGAAAAAAGGGAAAACAACAGAAAAUGUUUUACCCAGUUUUGCUUGCUCAUGGUGGCAAUCGGUCGGACUUUCCGAUGUUGGUGGACAACAUCUCUCGCCACAAAGCCUCAUCCGGCUAUUUGUACCCGAGACUUCGUGUGGGGGACACAUACCAACUUUGUGUAAAGCUUCAAGAAAACGGUUUGCCAAUAUUUGACAAACAAACGAAAUUAGGAAUGGAAGGUUUGCACAAAUUAUUCUUCCCUGGUGAAGACUUUAAAGAUCGUCACAGUGCUUUGGGAGAUGCCAGGUUGAUGAGGCAAAUUUUCGGGGGGCCGCUUCGCAACCACCUGGAAGAAAUCGAAACAAAGACGUUGUCUUCCUUUGUGGGUUUGCAAAAAAAGAAAAAGAAAAAAAAAGAAACCAAACCAUUGGCGAAGGUUGGCAUUGAAUUCGAGCAUUAACUCAGUAUUCGCUAUGCAAUUUGACGUAACCGCCUAUUUGGAAAGUUGAUUGAUGAAAGUUCAAUAUAAGAGGGGAGAAGCAGGGAUUAGCAGGAAAAGAUCUGAUGCAUGGGGAAGUAGUCAUCAAGACUGACCCCAUUCUAACGAAGAAACAAUUGAAAGAAG
rnacentral:misc_RNA from 1 species